rnacentral:rRNA from 1 species
GGGGAAUAUUGCGCAAUGGGGGGAACCCUGACGCAGCAACGCCGCGUGAGUGAAGAAGGCCUUCGGGUCGUAAAACUCUGUCAUUGGGGAAGAAAAAAAUGACGGUACCCAAUGAGGAAGCCCCGGCUAACUACGUGCCAGCAGCCGCGGUAAUACGUAGGGGGCAAGCGUUGUCCGGAAUUACUGGGCGUAAAGGGUGCGUAGGCGGCCGAUUAAGUCAGAUGUGAAAUACCACGGCUCAACUGUGGGGGUGCAUAUGAAACUGGUUGGCUUGAGUGCAGGAGAGGAAAGUGGAAUUCCUAGUGUAGCGGUGAAAUGCGUAGAGAUUAGGAGGAACACCAGUGGCGAAGGCGACUUUCUGGACUGUAACUGACGCUGAGGCACGAAAGCGUGGGGAGCAAAC